rnacentral:rRNA from 1 species
AUUGAACGCUGGCGGCAGGCUUAACACAUGCAAGUCGAGCGGAGCGAGGGUGCUUGCACCUUAGCUUAGCGGCGGACGGGUGAGUAAUGCUUAGGAAUCUGCCUAUUAGUGGGGGACAACAUUCCGAAAGGGAUGCUAAUACCGCAUACGCCCUACGGGGGAAAGCAGGGGAUCUUCGGACCUUGCGCUAAUAGAUGAGCCUAAGUCGGAUUAGCUAGUUGGUGGGGUAAAGGCCUACCAAGGCGACGAUCUGUAGCGGGUCUGAGAGGAUGAUCCGCCACACUGGGACUGAGACACGGCCCAGACUCCUACGGGAGGCAGCAGUGGGGAAUAUUGGACAAUGGGCGGAAGCCUGAUCCAGCCAUGCCGCGUGUGUGAAGAAGGCCUUUUGGUUGUAAAGCACUUUAAGCGAGGAGGAGGCUACUAGUAUUAAUACUACUGGAUAGUGGACGUUACUCGCAGAAGAAGCACCGGCUAACUCCGUGCCAGCCGCCGCAGUAA